GGAUGUGAGUAUAUCAGUGUAUAUAUCAUAGAUAUAGGAGAUCUAGAUUGCUAACGCAUACCUAGCGCAGGCGGGGCCUACAUGAUAAAUCCAAGAUGGCGGUACAACAGAGCAAAAAGACUAUAGAUUCUAUUACGAAAAUCAGGAUUUGCAUUUUUUGCCGUCGCAUUGUUUCGAAACUUAUUCGGUCAAAUUUUGUGGUAAAGAGAAACUUACCGCGACGAUUUUGAGCAUAUAUAUGAUUGAAUUGGAUGAAAACUCGCAAAAUUAUCCAGCGAUAAAAGUUCGUGUGAAAUGGUCAGUUGGUCAGUUGGAGCGUUUUAUUGCCAGAAAUACUGUGCUAUGUUAACAUCUAGCCUUGUGAAUGGUGUUUUAUACUUGCAUCUUUCAUCAUCAUCUGCUCUGUCCUCAUAAUUAUGAAAAAUGAACUGUUAUGUACCUCCCCCCCUCCUUGCUUGUUAGAGAAGUAAACUGAUGAGAGCACUGGAUGAGGGUCUAUCAUCUAUGGUCUGUUAUAAUUUGCUUUUUAUGGAAAUAGUGAGCAAAAAUUAAAGCAAAACUGUACAAGUUACAUAUAUAGUACUGUAUCAGUACUAUACACAAACUUUUAUCGCUGGAUAAUUUUGCGAUUUUUCAUCCAAUUCAAUCAUAUAUAUGCUCAAAAUCUUCGCGGUAAGUUUCUCUUUACCAUAAGAUUUGACCGAAUAAGUUUCAAAACAAUGCGACGGCAAAAAAUGAAAAAAUCC